rfam:Aedes aegypti strain Liverpool supercont1.6 genomic scaffold, whole genome shotgun sequence.
AAGACUGUGCUUCACAGGAUCAUUUCUGUAGGCAAGUUUUCACCACAAGUUUUUACCGAAAGGAAAAGCUUUCCCACCCACGAUGAUGAGACAUAGUGGCCAGCUUGGAGCGUGAAACUUGGUUCGGCUAUGCCCAUUCGAUUUAUUCGGACAGGCACCGGACUUCUGAUGAUCGGCUUCCUUGCAUAAUAGCUGGCCGCGGUCUGAGUGGU